GACGAACGCUGGCGGCGUGCCUAACACAUGCAAGUCGAACGAUGACGACCGAUCUUGCUCGGUCUGAUUAGUGGCGAACGGGUGAGUAACACGUGAGCAACCUGCCCUUCACCCUAGGAUAACCUCAGGACAUCGAGGCUAAUACCGGCUAUGAGCUCCUGUCGCAUGGUGGGCGUUGGUAGGUUUUUCGGUGUAGGAUGGGAUCGGGCCCUAUCAGUUUGUUGGUGUGGUAGGGGCUCACCAAGGCGAUGACGGGUAGCAGGCCUGAGAGGGCGACCGGACACGCUGGGACUGAGACACGGCACAGACUCCAACGGGAGGCAGCGGUGGGGAAUAUUGCACAAUGGGCGAAAGCCUGGUGUAGCGACGCAGCGUGGGGGAUGACGGCCAGCGGGUUGUAAACCACUUUCAGCAGGGAAGAAGCGAAAGUGACGGUACCUGCAGAAGAAGCGCCGGCUAACUACGUG
rnacentral:rRNA from 1 species